AGCGAACGCUGGCGGCCGGCCUAACACAUGCAAGUCGAGCGCCCCGCAAGGGGAGCGGCAGACGGGAGAGUAACACGUGGGAACAUGCCCUUCAGUUCGGACCAACCCAGGGAAACUUGGGCCAAUACCGGAUACGUCCGCCAGCAGAAAGCUUUAUCGCUGAAGGCUUGGCCCGCGUCCGAUUAGCUAGUUAGUGAAGUAAUGGCUCACCAAGGCGACGAUCGGUAGCGAGUCUGAGAGGAUGAUCAGCCUCACUGGGACUGAGACACGGCCCAGACUCCUACGGGAGGCAGCAGUGGGGAAUAUUGGACAAUGGGCGCAAGCCUGAUCCAGCCAUGCCGCGUGGGUGAUGAAGGCCCUAGGGUUGUAAAGCCCUUUCGGCGGGGAAGAUAAUGACGGUACCCGCAGAAGAAGCCCCGGCUAACUUCGUGCCAGCAGCCGCAGUAAAAC
rnacentral:rRNA from 1 species